rnacentral:rRNA from 1 species
GACGUAGGGCGCGAGCGUUGUCCGGAUUUAUUGGGCGUAAAGGGCUCGUAGGCGGCUCGUCGCGUCUGCCGUGAAAGACCAUGGCUUAACUGUGGUUUUGCGGUGGAUACGGGCGGGCUUGAGGCCAGUAGGGGAGAUCGGAAUUCUACGUGUAGCGGUGAAAUGCGCAGAUAUGUGGAGGAACACCGGUGGCGAAGGCGGAUCUCUGGGCUGGUUCUGACGCUGAGGAGCGAAAGCAUGGGGAGCGAACAGGAUUAGAUACCCGGGUA